GAUGAACGCUGGCGGCGUGCCUAAUACAUGCAAGUCGAGCGAACAGACGAGGAGCUUGCUCCUCUGACGUUAGCGGCGGACGGGUGAGUAACACGUGGAUAACCUACCUAUAAGACUGGGAUAACUUCGGGAAACCGGAGCUAAUACCGGAUAAUAUAUUGAACCGCAUGGUUCAAUAGUGAAAGACGGUUUUGCUGUCACUUAUAGAUGGAUCCGCGCCGCAUUAGCUAGUUAGUAAGGUAACGGCUUACCAAGGCAACGAUGCGUAGCCGACCUGAGAGGGUGAUCGGCCACACUGGAACUGAGACACGGUCCAGACUCCUACGGGAGGCAGCAGUAGGGAAUCUUCCGCAAUGGGCGAAAGCCUGACGGAGCAACGCCGCGUGAGUGAUGAAGGUCUUCGGAUCGUAAAACUCUGUUAUUAGGGAAGAACAAAUGUGUAAGUAACUAUGCACGUCUUGACGGUGCCUAAUCAGAAAGCCACGGCUAACUACGUG
rnacentral:rRNA from 1 species